UAUACUUUCAUUUGAACUUGGUUUUUACUCUCCUGGAUUCACCACAACCUUUUUUAUUUUCUAUAUUGAAAUAAGGCCUUUUGACCUAAAGAGGACUUACUAUCAAGUAAAGAUGUACACAAGCCAAAUGUUUCCAUUUGUCCGGGUGUGUGGGGCCAGGUGCUUCAACCAUUUACAGAAAACCAAACCAUUUCUUUUUUUUUUCUUUUGAAAUCAAGUAUAACUACUUUGGGUUGAUGGUACUUUGGGUUGAUGGUGGAUAUGAACCAUGUUAGAAACUGAAUAAUAUCUGGAUCUCAUAUUAUCACAGAUGGAACAAACAACACUCCAGAUCUGUGGGAAUUACUUUCAGCUGCAUUUCGACAGAGAUGCCAGUUAUAUAUACAGUGUAAAUAAAUUAGGGCAUUGCUGCAAGACUGCAUCUCAUUCCUUGCUCUUGGAAGCUCCUCCAAUGGCAUAUUCCAAGUCAGGCUAGCUUCUGUACGUGAAGGAGAACCACCGUGGGGGCGGGCCCAAAAGGGCUAUUUCUUCAUGGCGUCAUCCAACCAUCACUCCACUGUUGCCGCAUCCCUGAAAUGCCACUACAAUGGCACCUAAAUCAGCGAAGGUUUCGUCUUCCUUCUUUAAGGGAUGGGUCACAAAGAUUCGCUAAUUCGGCGCCAGAUGACUGGGAUAGCAAAGCUGAAGCACCUCUAAAGUAAAAGCAAAAUUCCCCCCUCCCCGAGCUCUAUCUCAUCUUUUAUCCUUAGGCACCAUGCGUAAAUACGCUUAGUAUCUGAGCGUGAAAUACAUGCAGGCGUUCACACUUCUGCUUAUACCCCUUUCUACACCUAACGUCGCGGCUUACAAAAUUCCAUGCUAGCCAUCAUCUCGUUCUUGCAAAAAAUAGCGUACUCAGUUCUGGGGGAAAUUUACAUUGGGCAGAAGAGGCACCUUGGCUAAACUGUGGGCAAAGUGUGAAGAUGUUACAGCAAUCUCUGCGGAAAGGGCGUUAUAGUACCUUCGAGGGUUGGGUUGCCUAGUGCAAGCCUUGCCCUAUGUGCGCGUGUGCGCGCGCGCAGAUUAUUUUUAUGCCUAUUAAUCUUCUGUAGAAACCUAACCGCUCAUUUGCAGUUCAUGCAGGAAAUCACAAAGACAAUUAACAUGUCUGCACAGGCCAGGCUUUUGUGCUUAUUUUCUAAAGGGCUGCCUAUGCGCGUGCUUGUUGGUGUUGAUGGAGAAGCAAGAAAGCUCCUCUUAAGAGCUUCGUUUUAUAAAUACUAUAAACGCCUUAGGAUUUAGUGCGAAUCUGAAAAAUCAAUAGGAUCUCUCUCUCUCUCCCCCCCCCCUCCACCCAGGCCCCACGUGGACCUCGGUCGCGUUUGUUACUUUUUCCCCAGCUGCGUUUCCGAUCAAGAUAAUGAGAUGGUGUUGCCAUCCUAUGCACCCUUUGGUCCGGCUUACAAAACAAUGAGACGUAGAUCUAGGAUCGCGGUACAAUAUUUGCUUCCGGUCCAGAGGACUUUUUGCCUCCUGAAAAGCAAGUGGCCGGGCCUGCCUUCGCUUCAGGAUCCUAAGCGCGCUCUUGCUCGCCGCGCAGGCCUCAAUCGAGACGCAAUUGAAUGCGAGGGGCUCUUUCAGAUCGGCGGAACGUUGUGCCCCACACCUUCGGGCUGGGUCGCGCAGUCCGCGUGGGCUGAGGACAGGAGAAAGGCGGUACGCACAGCUCGCCCUCGAAGCUCAGAAGGCCCAUUUCCCUGGCGCGAAACCGUUCUCCUCCCCACGGCAUCUACCCCGCCUUCCGCCGUUUUCUCAGGAGGCUUCUUUCUGGAGAGACCCGAAAGAGGAUUGGGCGUGUUCUGCGAGUUCCUCAAACUGCAGAGAGAUUUCGGGGGCUCCGGGAAGGGGGAGGCCCAGGAGACGUCUAGAAAUGGCUUGUUCCCUGAAGCUUCCAGAAAAGGCGCCUCGGGAACCUGGCGGGAUCUCGCAAAUUUGCUUGCCGGUGAAGCGAAGCCCGGUUGCAGCGUUAAGAGCAUCCCGGAUUGAAUGUGGAGCUCUUCUGUUGUGUAGGCAGGUUCUGAGUACACAAGCUGAGGUCUACGGUCCGGUUGUCUGGAUGCCACGAUCCCGAAGCAGCCCCGGGUGGGAAAGGUCACCUGUGGGUAGCGGGGUCCCUCUUUAGUCACCUCGGGGUGGGGAACUGUCUCUACAAGCCGCCCUCUCAACUGGCUCUGUACACGCGCAGAGAUAUGUACAGUCCGGGGAGUGACAUAAACCGAGGUGGCCCUUGAGGCUGCUCCAAAUGCCCUCCUCCCCACUCGUGGUAGAGAGGAACGUGGGUAGCGUGUGGCUUGGUUUGCGUUUCGGACCGUGGACAGGUCAGCUUGGCCGCCGUCUCCGGAAGAAGAAGGGGAAAAAAAUGAACCGACUCCGGGGAGGUCGGGCCUGCCAGAGCGCGCCUUUUCUGGUUACCCACUGAGGACGGGGCUUCAGAAGGCCGGGUUGCGGCGCCAUCGACGCGAGAAAGGGAAGGCGACUUCUGGGCGGGAAAUAGUGGCUGCUGCGGUGAAGCGACUCGCCUUUACCUCGAUGGCCCCGGGCCUUCAGGGAAAGAACCCAAAUAAGUUCUGCCUGUUCAGCAGGGGGCUUUCAAGCAGGAGCCGAAGGUCACGUCCACGCUAACGCACGUGGGCGAGGGCUCCGUGGGAUUUGGACCGCGCUGGAUUUCAGCUCUGGGGGUUGAGCGCCUCGGGGCGGGAGUGGGGGGGUGGCAUCCAGACAACCGGACCGUAGACCUCAGCUUGUGUACUCGGAGACUUUCUGAAACCCCCUUACUCACUCGCGCGCGCGCUCGGGAGGGCCUUCAAACUAGGCGCAGAGCUCCUUCCCCUUCCCUCCUCCUCCCGCAAGCACUAUUUUACGCCGGUGGGGAGGGGGCCACCGAGGGGGCGUCAUACUCCAGCCACCCGCUGAGGGGCGGCCCCCAAGCCACCUCCCCUCGCAGCUCCGGCUCCGUCGCGCGUUGCGCGCGCGCGCACGCACACACACACGCACGCACGCGGGCACACGGGGCUCUUGGCUUGUGCUGAAUGAACAGCGCUCGGUUUUCGAAAGUCAGUCCCCCAAGUAAGCGCAAGGGGCGGGGUGUCAGGGGGAGAAGCACUAGGAGACGCCCGCCAAGCCGGCCCGCCAGCUCGGGAAAACGCCUCGGCCGACGCCGGCUCCGCCGAGUGCCGCAGCCUAGAGGCAGACAUCCAGAGGUAAUCACAUGGAAUGACUAUUUACACAAAAAGAUAACAAAAGAGUAAUGCAGAGGAUUACUUUAUUUUUAUUCUUAAUCAUUGAACAAGACAUUGAAAAGGCAUUCUUAAAAAAGCAAAAGAAGACCAACAAGCUAUUUUCUAAGAGGGAAUGACUGAAAUGGCUGCUUGGAAUGAUUCUUAGAAGAAACCCAGCAUGGGGCCUUCUUUACCAAUCUAAGAGAUGGUAAGAAUAAGCAGCUGAAUUCUUGAAUGAGUUUGUAUUCUGGAAUGGCUUCUUCAAAGAGGUCUGCCCAUUAACUGUAAAGCGCCCUAGAUUGGGGAGGGAGCAUAUGCUUGGAAAGAUACCAUUGAACAAUUCCUGCUCAAGUCUUCUGCUAUAGGAAAAAAUGAUUUCACAAUAGUAAACAUGGAGUUUCUUCGGCUUUUCAGAAGUUUCAUUUGAAAGGAUGGAGAGAUAUUUCCUGACACUGCAACUUAUCUGAUACAUCAAAUAUACUGCAGGGGAAAAAAAGCAAAGAGGUCUUAAUCACUCUGGACAAGAGUUCAACAACUAAAGUUUUAAUGCAGAAAAAUGCACAGACAUGUCUGCUGUGGUCAUCUACCUUCUUCCUUAGUCUGAAAAGGAAAUGUCCAGUGUUAGUUCUAUUAGCUCCUUCUCUGAGCUAUUUCACAAUUCAGGAAUCAUUAACAAGAAGUGUUGCAAAACACAGGAAGCUAUCAUCAACCAUGUCAAGUCAGUCUAUCAUAGUACAAACAGACUGAUGAUGGCCCCCCAGGAUUUAUUACAGAAUAUGUAGUCCCCAGUGCUGCUUCAGGCAGUUAUCUGACCCUGGGGAUUCUGCCAAGAAGGGUGGGCCCUAAUGCAUGCUUUACUUGCAAAACCCCAAGCUUAACCCUCAAUGAUUUGUAAAUGGCUCUGCCUGAAACCUUCCUAAGGUGCUAAUUAGGCAGGCAAUUCAAUAUAAGUCAACUUCCUGGUUUCCUAAUAUUAGAUAAUAUUUUUGUGACUCUAGUUCAGCACAAGCAAAUUUGAAUUAUUGCUUGUGAUAAUUCAUAUCAAAUUCCUAUAAUAAUCCAUAUUGUGAUGAUUUGGUUAUAUAAAAGGAUGAAUGGCAGUUCCUGGAUCCUCUCAUGUUUCACUUGAACAAGGGUCUUUCAGUGGCAUAUGGCACAAGUGUGGCAAAUAAGAGCACCAAUUGGGCAGAUCUAAAAUAUAAACUGGAAAGGAUAAUAAAAGUCUUUGAUGACUUUUUGUCCCCAUGGGGAAAAAAAUUCCAAAUUUCCUUUAUGGAACUUAUUCAGCUCAUUUCUAAUCAUGUUUCCUGAAAGUAAGAAUAACAAAAUUUAAUAAAGGAAGUAGAUUUAAUCUAUAUUUUUCUUUGGUCAAAUGCAACUUUGUAGGAAUAGUUUUUCAUUGCAAUCCAUUAAUUUGACAUAAAUGUCAAGAUAAUUUCCCAACCAUAUCUUGAUUAUGAACAUUUUCUUUUAGUUGUUGUCUCUUUUGGUGUUGAAAAAGCUAACUUCAAAGGAAGCUAUUGUUGCCAUCAUGUUUUUUCAGUGGAUAAAGACAAUCACAUGUGAAUUGAACUCAGUUCCUAUGUAAAUACAAUGAAGAUUAAAAUAUAGGUAGUACUUGAUUUACAAUCAUUCAUUUAACAAAUGUUCAAAGUUACAACGAUCCUUAAAAUGUGACUUAUGACCGGUUCUCACACGGCUGUCACAUUCCCACAAUCACAUCAAAAUCCAGGCACUUGGAAACAGCAUGUAUUUACAACAAUUGCACACUGUCCUGGGGCCAAGUGAUCACUAUUUGUGAUCUUCCCAACAGUCUUCCAACAAACAAAAUCAAUAGGGAAAGUCGUAUUUGCUUAAUAAUCUCAUGAUCCACUUAAUAACUGUUGUGAUUUGCUUAACAACAAUGGCAAAAAGGUUGUAAUUUGUGCAUGAUUCACUUCACAACCACUUUGUUUAGCAACCAAAAUUCUGGUUCCAAAUGUCGUCAUAAAUUGAGGAUUACCUGUACCUGUACCAGAGUGCAUUUGAGUUAAGAAUGGCAUACUAAAGCAAGCUCAGUUGUAUUGAUUAUACACUUACCAGCCCAUCUUUACUGAUGUUCUAUUGAUAUCUGAUAUCCCAGAUAUUUUCAUAUACAAAUGAAAAGAUUAGGCAGAAUGUUUGCUCAUUGGACAUAUAGAUACUGAUGAGAAGGAGCGCAUACUCUGCUUUGCAUUGUGAUUUGGAAAUGUGCCUAUUGUACCCAGUUUGCUCAGAGCAAUAACUUAGAGGGAAAACAUUUGUUGCAAGAAGAUGGAAUUUAUUUCAUUAGUAUUGUUUGAAUUAAAUUCAAGGGAGAGAUCAUUUGUAGUGCAGCAUCUAAAGUAUUUUUUAAAUAGGUAGCUGCAUGGAACAUGCAUAAGCCAUACCCAAGAGAAAAUAAAAAAUGAAAAAGGGUUUUUGAAAUGUUGUUCAUUUAAAAAUGCAUAUUUUUAUUUGUUUAAGAACAUGUUUAUAGAAAAUGUUGUCAUAUGCUUUAGCCCCAAUCAAAAUCAUAGCUUUGUUUUUUGUUUUGUUUAAAAAUGAGACUAAUUAAAAUAUUCUGUUUGUCUUUUGGUGGGAAAAAGGUAAUGAUAUAUUGAAAAUGUUGUAAGCCCUAUUUUUAAAUAAAUAUUUCCUAGUCGUGUGUAAUGAAUUAUAUAUGUGGGCUUUUAUCAAUUAUAUGUAAACAGAAUUGUAUUGUCAUUUAUUACUAUCUUAUAUUUUAGCAGCUAAAAUUCUGCUUCUUAAAAUAUGUUGACUAUUACAUUAAAAAAUUAUGGUUCAUGUAAUAUAUAAUGUUCAUGGAUGCUUGAUUACUUAAAGGAAUGUUAUUUAUACAGAUAUAGGAUGCAGCAGAACUACUACUGCUAAAAUGGGUUGGCUAAAAUGGAAGGCAUCACGGAAACCACAGCUCUGGAUAGAUUACAUCAAAAUACAUGAUAGCAAUAUUGUGAUCAGCAAGAACGGUUUGAAACUGUUCCUGGUACAGUGUUGCUUUUAAACAUUAUAUAAAUAAAAUGUAAAUGGGAACUAAGGCUUAUUAAAAGAGCUAUGUGUGGUCUUGAAGAUUCUAUCUCACAUGUAUUAGAAAUUCUGUGUUUGUUGUCUCAGAUGCAGAAAAAUGCAAUGCUAGAUAUGAAAAUGAUGUCAUUUAUGAUGUACAUUUUGAUUUAGCUUACCCUGGGAAUGUGGCACAACCAACAGUGGGAUUAGAUAGUCUGUACCUGCCAACUCUAGUGUGAAUUUGCUAGAGAGGCUGUAAUUUCAUGAUAACCAGUCUCUAAUAAAAUUGUUUUUGUUUGACUGUGAGGAUUUCUCAGGAAGGAACACAUUUACUCAAGCUUAGUUGGGCAUUAUAUACAAAUACACUGAAAAUGGAUAGAUGUAGUCUGUCUAUUAAUGGAAGAAGUUUUCAAUACUUACCAUAGCAUGUUUAAUCCAGAUGGAAGUAUAGUAUCAAUAUUUGCAUAACAUAACAAAUUUACUUAAUUUAAAUUUUGGUUAGGAUUCUUUUUGUUCUAAGUAAGCUGCAGAAAUCUAGCCCUCUACUAUUUGAUUAUUUGAUUCUUCCUAUAGUAUAGACUCAGAAAGAUGCUAAUAAAUGGACAAAAAUAUAUGGAAAACAAUAACAUGGAUCACCACAAUCAGUUCCAGUAAUUAAAGCAUUUGUGAAGUGAUGCCAUCGGAGUGUAGUUAAUGAAUGAAUAGUAGAAGAACCAUCUUAUUUAUAGACAUGGUUUUAAUUCCUGAAUUUGUUUGCAUUUCCAAUCCCUAUCAAAUUUAUCACAAGGAUAUAUAUUGUACAAAUAUAUUUUAGUGGGGAAAGAAAAAAACCUAUUGUGCAAUGUUUUUUGUCUGGAAAUUUUGUGGGAAUUUCUACUGGCUUAACCCUAUGAUGUGAGGUCAAAAGAUACAUUUCAUUGCAUAGAAUCUGAACUAGUAUACUAGCUAUAUACAGUACUGUUUAGCAAUAAAACAUUAUUUAUUGCUUUAUUAAAUUUGUACUAAAUUUACAAACUUUAUUUAUUAAAACACUAGAACAAUAUGUAACACUGCAUUGGUGAGACCACAAUAUAAAUUUAUUGAUCACCUACCCAUGGCAAAUUAGACCUGAAUAUUGGUAUACUUAAACUGAUAUGUUACCUAUGUCUCUUUCAAACUAAAAUGCAUUUUCUGAGAAUAAGAUAUUUUGUAAGCUUGUAGAUGCCUGACCAUACAAUCUGAUUGCUACAGCAGACUUAAGACUAUUUAUCAAAAGCAGCAAAUAAACUUCUAAAUGCUA